GGGUCAGCAGGUUGGUCGUGCCAAUGGUAUGCACUGGCCUUGUUGAUUCCUCCUUCUUGAUGAGCCGUAAUGCCAUUAAUUUGGUGUUGCGGGGAAUCAGGACUGUUACUUUGAAAAAAUUAGAGUGUUUAAAACAGGCAUUUUGCUUGAAUACAUUAGCAUGGAAUAACGGAAUAGGAC
rnacentral:rRNA from 1 species